UACGGAGGGUGCGAGCGUUGUCCGGAAUCAUUGGGCGUAAAGGGCGCGUAGGUGGCCCGGUCAGUUCGUGGUGAAAGCGCGGGGCUCAACCCUGCGUCGGCCAUGAAUACUGCCGCGGCUGGAGCACUGUAGAGGCAGGCGGAAUUCCGGGUGUAGCGGUGGAAUGCGUAGAGAUCCGGAAGAACACCGGUGGCGAAGGCGGCCUGCUGGGCAGUUGCUGACACUGAGGCGCGACAGCGUGGG
rnacentral:rRNA from 1 species